GUUUUGGCUUCACUUUUCAGGGCUUGUGCGGCACGCUUGGGCUGGCCACAAUAAAAGGCCACUCUAAAAUGUGCAGUUUCACUGUAUUCGGGGGUCCCCAAAUAUAAACACAUUCCCCCAAAAUACGAAAGAAUUUUACGUCAAAACAGAAUGGGGUGAGAGUUCAUCGUGCUCACAAAUGAAAGAUUCACAUCCGGCCCAGUAUGCUGCUGUCACAGUUAAGUCAUUACAUGAUCUACGGUCGCGUGCAGCGCUUGUUGCCAUUUGAAGCAUUUGGGACGUUGGUCAUAUCAACCGUCAAAACUAAGGAGUUAUUCAGCAUUCGGGUGAGUAAAGGUUUGCUAGUUUAAUGUUUGCUGAACGCCAACAAUAUAUGUGCAUAAAUCAUUUUACAUAAUGUUAAAAAUGGCCACCUGUAGUUAGCAAGGUUAUCUUUCGAUUUUAAUUCAUGUUUACUAAUCGUGCUAUUGCUAAAUGUAGCCCAGCUCGACAAUAUUGACCACUUCUAGCUAACCAUUUUGCUAGUUGUAUUAGACUCAUUUUUUAUUUUUUUUAAUAAAUCCUCACUAUAAUCACAUCAAUAAGUUGUACAGUAAUAUGUAGCCAACGUUUGGUAAAUACAAUUAUUUGCUGCUGUGGCUAGUUUUCUAUGCCUGGAUGAUGAUUAUUAUAGGGCUAAUGGAUAGUAUCAAUAAUGGCUUGGUAACUUAGCAAACUAUGUUUAUUAGCUAGCUCUUCUGUUAAAGUUAGUAUCAUGUUAAUUACAGUAGCUGAUUGAUUUGUACUAGUAAAUAAUGUUAAACAUUAACUGGUUGGCCAAGAUUCUGGUUGGUCAGUUUUUCUGCUGAAGGAUCACCCAAGGGUACUUACAGUCAGAUGUGCACAUACAGUAGCAUCCACACACCAUGUUCAGUGGGGAGAACAAGUAUUUGAUACACUGCCGAUUUAGCAGGUUUUCCAACUUACAAAGCAUGU
ensembl:lncRNA